AUGGAGGACUUCGCGCGCGCGGUGGAGGACGGGCUCAAGCUGUCGAAGCGGCUCGUGCUGCCGGGCGGGCUGCCCCCGCCGCGGCCGCCCGCGGGGAUGGAGCGCGGGCCCGACGCGGCCGCCGCGCUGCUGCUCCCCGCCGCGCCGAUGGCCUACGCGGUCGUCUCCGACCCCGGCGCCGUCGACACCCCCGACGUGCCCAGCUACCAGCCCUACGUCUACGGCCGCCUCGACCCGCCCGCGCUCAUCCCGCUGCAGAUGAAGGAGAUCGACCUGGCCGUCGACUGCGCGCUCGACACGGCCUCCGUCACCCUGCGCGCGCGCUGGUGGCUGCACUGCAUCACGCGCAGCCGCGAGUGCGACGUCAGGCUCAUCGUGCCCAUGGGAGAACAGGGUUCAAUUCUAGGCGCUGAGGUCACUGUCGGAAGAAUGUCAUACAAUACUCAAGUGACCGAAGUAGAAGACCAAACCAUGGAGAAUACCAUGAAAGGCAUUUUGAAACCCCAUAUGUUUUGCUUGACAAUACCACAGGUGGAAGGUGGAGCGGAUAUUGUAGCCACAGUUAGAUGGUCUCAGAAGUUACACUAUGAUAAUGGACGAUUCACGGUCGACAUACCUUUCCGUUUUCCAUACUAUGUCAACCCAUUACCAAAAGUAUUCAUGAAGAGGGAGAAAAUUCAGUUGACAGUGAAUAGUGGAUUCAGUAAAGAGGUUUUGUUGCAGGGCACAAGCCAUUCAUUGAAGGAAAAGGCAAGGCAGGGUGAUAAAUUGUCUUUCCUGCAUGAAGCAGUUGUUGAGAAUUGGUCAAGCAAAGAUUUCACAUUUUCCUACAGUGUUUACUCUGGUGACUUGUCAGGUGGUAUCCAUGUGCAGCCUUCAACAUCUCAGGAUUAUGACGAUAGAGAUACAUUCAGCAUUUUCAUUUUACCUGGAAGUGGGAAUAGAAAGGUCUUCAAGAAAGCAGUCGUAUUUGUUGUUGAUACAAGUGGAAGCAUGAAAGGAAAACCUCUUGAGAAUGUGAAGAAUGCAGUGUCUACAGCUCUUUCCGAACUUGUGCAAGGAGAUUACUUCAACAUUAUAACAUUUAAUGAGGAGCUCCAUUCAUUCUCAUCAUGUUUAGAGAAAGUAAAUGAAAAAGCAAUAGCAAGUGCGAAUGAUUGGAUGAACGCCAACUUUGUUGCUGAGGGUGGCACAGAUAUUAUGCAUCCUUUAAAUGAGGCGAUGGCAUUAUUGUCAAGUGCCCAUGAUGCGCUCCCACAAAUUUUUCUUAUGACUGAUGGAUCGGUUGAUGAUGAGCAUGACAUCUGUCAAACUGUGAAAAAUGAGCUGCUCAGCAGAGGAUCUAAAUCUCCCCGAAUUUCUACGUUCGGACUAGGUUUAUAUUGCAACCAUUAUUUCUUGCGCAUGGUGGCAUCAAUUGGCAAGGGGCAUUUUGAUGCUGCACUCGAGACAGGAUCAAUUGAGAGUCGAAUAGUUAAGUGGUUCAGGAAAGCAUCAAAUACAAUAGUGGCAAACAUCUCCAUUGAUGCUACGAAACAUCUCGAUGAUUUUGAAGUGGAUUCUGAAUAUAUUCCAGACAUUUCAGCACAGUGUCCUUUAUGUAUAUCUGGAAAAUACCAAGGCAAGUUCCCUGAGACAGUUGUGGCAACGGGUUACUUGGCUGACAUGAUAGAGAUCUCGAUUGAGCUGAAGGUCCAGCAUAUAACGGACAUGCCUCUUGAUAACAUUUUCGCAGCACAGCAGAUUGCUCUUCUCACAGCAAAGGCAUGGCUUUCUGCAGACAAACAACUGGAGAGAAAGGUGAUAAAAUUAAGCAUAGAGAAUAGUGUUCUUUCAGAGUACACAAGCAUGGUUGUACUUCAAACCAAUUUGGAUGCAGCACAAAAAGUCAAGCAGAAACCGAAAGGACGCAAAGGCGCCAACGAGCCAUUACGAUUCCAGCUUCAUGGUCUAAAACUUGGAUUCGGUGACAAAGCAGCCACCAGGGAAAACCUCCUCACAUGUUUCGGUGACGAGAAACCACUGGAGACGUUGAAGAUAUUCAAGAAGGCGGGCGGGUGCUGCAGCCGCGUCGCAGACUGCCUCUGCUGCAUGUGCUGCAUCAAGGCGUGCAACAAGAUGAACGACCAGUGCGCCAUCUUGAUGGCGCAGGUGUGCGCCGCGCUCUCGUGCCUUGGCUGCUACGAGUGCUGCGCGGAGGUGUGCUGUGGAGGGUCCGAGUCGUAG
rnacentral:rRNA from 1 species